AACGCACAUUGCGCCCACUAGUAUUCUGGUGGGCAUGCCUGUUCGAGCGUCAUUUCAACCCUCAAGCCUGGCUUGGUGUUGGGGCUCUGCGCCUGCAGUCCCUUAAAUCCAGUGGCGGACACGCUAGGUCUCCGAGCGCAGUAGUUUCUUCUCGCUCAGGGCGUCCGGCGUGGGCUUGCCUCGCACCCAUCUUUUCAAGGUUGACCUCGGAUCAGGUAGGAAUACCCGCUGAACUUAA
rnacentral:misc_RNA from 1 species